GCGCUCGAACUCGCGGUAGUCCUGGGCGCUGAAGCGGUACUUGCGCUGGAGAUCCCCGCGCUUCUGCUCCAGGAGCCGCCGCUGCCCGGUCUCGGCCUCGGCCUCGAGCGCGUCGAAGACGGCGGCGCCCACCAGCAGAUGAGGAACCAAAGCUGAAAUCAGGUUAUAGUUCCUGGACUACUGAAAUAAAUGCAUAGGCACAUGAACAUGAGCCAGCUGGUCAACAUCUCACAAAAGUGCUGCAGGAGUCCCACUCAGCCAACAAACACAAGGAAGAAUUUGACCAACCCUCAAGUGGCAAAGUAAAGGAUAUCAUACCAAAAAUGAGCUUGGAAAAAGUUUCUUUCAGAGAUUAAAACUUCCAGAUCUCCCUUCCCCUUCAAAACCAGCAUAGAUAAUUGCUAUGAUGCUGGAAGAUCUGGAGCUGUGGUCCAAAAAAGUAACUUUUCCUUGUUUAUUGGUUAGCUCUCAUUAUCUGGAAGUAGCAUUGGUUCUGGAGAAGACCAAUCUAGAGUAGUAUCCUUAUUUCUGCAGUAGGA